CACGAUGGGAGUCUCCUGCCUGCCUGUGUGUGUGUGUGUGUGUGUGGCUUUGCGUGUAAGAGAGUGUGUCAGGCUGUGGGUAUGAAGGUGAAAGCGACUGUCCUCCGUGUAACCCUAUGACGGGACUGUGUGUAUGAUGUGACACUUUUAGCAAUGUGAAAACGUGGGUGACCUCUGACUCGAAUGGUGUGUGUGUAGAAUUGGAUUGCUGGUAGCACUUUAUGACCAAGAGCUAGUGCGACUGUAGUCAACUUUCUGCUUGGCCUGAUGUGCAUGUGUGUGGCUGUCUUCAUGGCAGGGAGUGGAACUGGUUGUAGGAUUAGGUGUGGUUGUUGACCAAGAGGUUGUGCGGCUGUGGUUGUCUUUCUGCCUGUUGGUGUGUGUGUGUGUGUGUGCGUGCGCGUGGUGGACAGUGUGGCACUGGAUCAGUGAUAGGUGACUAUGAUUGACUUUUGAUUGUGUGUCACUGUGAUGGUGCAUGGGGCUGGGCGGAACUGUGUCCAGAAGUGGAGCUGUUUCAUGGGACGGUGCGCGUGGAACCUCGGGGUUGGAUGAGUGAGGUGUGGAGGUGUGUGAAGCCGUGUGUGUGUGUGUGUGUAGAGAGGAACUAGAGAGUGUGAUCGGCAUUGAUACCGUGGCUGGCAGUGGUGUGCAAUGGAGAGUUUGUGGGAGAUGGGAGUGGAGAUGUGGACAUUUAAGUGGGAUGCUCCUCCAAGCGGGUGACAGGAUGGAAAAGGGGGUACGCGUCAGGGAUCAGUGUGUGGGACUGUGCCUAUGAUUAUCAGCUGUGCGGUUGUGCACCCGGGGUUCUGUGUGAGUGUGGGAGCUGCUGUGUGUCUGGGACACAGCCCGAGUGCUGGAUGGCUGUGGUUGAGCCGUGUUUGUUGCUGUGGUUGUCAAUCUGGCUGUGGAGUGGUGUGUGUAAGGCUGUGUCUGAGGUUAUAGAGGGAGGUUUUACAUCGGCAAAAUUGUGUGAAGAAUGGUUGUGGUUGUCAGGAUGACUCUUGAACCUGUGUGGUUAUGAGUUCAACCAUUUAUGAUGUUUGUGUGUGAGGUGUGAGACUAGGUAUGGUGUGAUAUACACAAGCACACAGAUUGGCUGGGUGCAGUGGCUCAUACCUGUAAUCUCAACACUUUGGGAGGCUGAGGCGGCGGGGAUUGCUUGAACCCAGGAAUCCUAGACUAGCCUGGGCAAUAUGGUGAUACCCCGUCUCUACAAAAAACAAAAAUUAGCUGGGCAUAGUUUAGUUUUUUAAAAAUUAAAAAAAGGUUGGCUGGGCGCGGUAGCUCACGCCUGUAAUCCCAGCACUUUGGGAGGCCAAGGGGGGAGCGGGUGGAUCAUUUGAGGUCAGGAGUUUGAGACCAGCCCGGCCAACAUGGUGAAACCCCGUCUCUAAGAAAAAUACAAAAAUUAGCCAGGUGUGGUGGCGGGCACCUGUAAUCCCAGCUACUUGGGAGGGUGAGGGAGGAGAAUCGCUUGAACCUGGGGAGGUGGAGAUCGCAGUGAGCCAACAUCAUGCCAUUGCACUCCAGUCUGGGCAACAGAGUGAGACUCAGUCUCAAAAAAAUAAAAUUAAAUUUUUAAAAGGUUGAUAUAUACAUCACAUAUAUACACAUACAUAUAUCUAGAGAGAGGGAGAGAUCAAUGACCAUCAAGUCUGUGGUGCACAAAACGUACAGGACCCUUACUGUAUGUGAUCGUGCGUGUACAACACGUGCAAAAACCGCUGGGCUGCUUAUGGUGGAUGCAGUGGCUUGAGUGAAGUGUGCGAGAACGUGGCAUCCCUCCACGCGUAUUCACAGCUCUCUGUUCCGACAGUGGAGCUGAAUCUGAGUACUUGUGUGUGCAUGGCGUGUAAGUGUGGGAGUCCCUGCUGGCCAGGCCUGGAGUGGGAGGGAGAGGAAGUAGGGAAACUGGUGAGGGAUCCACAGUGAAUCUUGGGAGUGUGUGCAUCUGGAGGCUGAGUGCAGUGGCACUAUCAU
rnacentral:lncRNA from 1 species